rnacentral:ribozyme from 1 species
CCAAGCGACAUUGCAAGAAGAAAAUACUGGUUUCAAGUGAACCCACAGUGGAAAUUUUUUCGCAAGGACGAAAAGGCCAGGUAAUGGGGCGCCGUCCUUCUGGGACG